CUCUUUGACACAUUCCCAGUUUCCAUUCUUUAACUAAGUAAUUAUAAACGUACAGUAUUAUGAUAAAUUGUUUGUACUUUUAGGGCUCACCAGUAAAACUGGAGAAAGCUGAGGUAUUGGAGAGAACAGUUGAAUACAUAAAAAGAUUAAAAACUGGAUCUGCAGACAUUACCUCAACUUAUUUGUUUGGAUACAUGAAAUGCCUGGAUACUAUUGGUCGAUAUCUGGAUGAUGCUCAUAUACCACAGUCAGUAUUGUACAAUAUCCAAUCAUACCUGUUAUCCAAUGUAAACUCAAGAAACCAUUCACCUCCCGACGAAACAAACAAUGAUGACGAUUUACAUGGUUGUAUGAAUCAUCAGACUCGGGAUGAACCACAACAGAGGCACGUGGGAAUUGAAAAUGCUAUUUCGUCGUCGGUAAUUGAAGUAUUUUGUAAAACCGAAGAUGAAGACAUUGACGAUAGACCUACCGUAUCAGUUUGUUAUCAAGGAAAUCAUAUCGUUAAUAAUGAAGGAGUUUGGAGACCGUGGUAGUGUAAUUGAAACAUAAAUACUCUCUUCAAGAAUUCAGUUCAAUAUAUUGGUGCUUUCAUACAAAUCUUGGUGCAACGUUUAGUGCAGUAAAUGAUUCUGUUUUUGUUAUGUUUAUUAAAAUUUUGCAAUUUU